rnacentral:rRNA from 1 species
GCCAGCAGCCAUAUCACCCUGCAACUCAACACCAGCAGCCCACUGAAGCCCAGCAGGGUGAGCCUCGCCAGUACCUGGAGGGGAGACUCCUGGGAAAGCUAAGGCUGCUGCUGGAA